UAGCAGCACGUAAAUAUUGGCGUGGUGAAAAUAAGACCAAAAAACGCCAAUAUUACUUGUGCUGCUGCA
rnacentral:pre_miRNA from 1 species